rnacentral:rRNA from 1 species
AGGGAAUAUUGGACAAUGGGCGCAAGCCUGAUCCAGCCAUCCCGCGUGAAGGAUUAAGGUCCUAUGGAUUGUAAACUUCUUUUCUCUGGGAAUAAAAACUUGGAUUCAUCCGAGCUUGAAGGUACCAGAGGAAUAAGCACCGGCUAACUCCGUGCCAGCAGCCGCGGUAAUACGGAGGGUGCAAGCGUUAUCCGGAUUCACUGGGUUUAAAGGGUGCGUAGGUGGUCUUGUAAGUCAGUGGUGAAAGCCUACAGCUCAACUGUAGAAUUGCCAUUGAUACUGCUAGACUUGAAUCAGGUCGAGGUGGAUGGAAUGUAACAUGUAGCGGUGAAAUGCUUAGAUAUGUUACAGAACACCGAUUGCGAAGGCAGUUCACUAGGCCUGCAUUGACACUGAGGCACGAAAGCGUGGGGAUCAAAC